GCCUUUGCCAGUUCAACGCUGGCCAGCAAUAUAUAUAUAUAUAUAUAUAUAUAUAUAUAUAGUAAUAAUUGAAUGAGGUACUUAAUCGAGAUAUCGGCACCAUUAAGAUUACACCCAAUGUCUUUUUUUUUUUAAUUAAUUAUAAUAUAACUUGAUUACCAAUUUUCUGUUACAAAAUUUGAAAUAGUUAUGGUUAAGCCAAGAUAUUUUCUGUAAUGGGAGGGACUAGUAUGCCAAUUUAAUUGAUUUGCAUUAAAUGAGAUGGAAAAGACUUGAUUACUUGGGAUCCCUAUUUAAUUUGAAUUUAUUUAUAAAUAAAUUAUAAUUAGAGCUUAUUCUAAAUGAAUAUUCUAUAUUUUUAAGAAGUAAGAAUUUUAAAAAAAUUAUACAAUUUAAAUUAUAAUUUAAUAUUAAAUAUAAAUAUAAAUAACUUAAUCUUAUAUUAUAUAAUAAAAAUAAGAUUUAUGUAAUAUAAUGUUUAUUUUUGUAAUUUUUCCAUUAGUCAAUUAAUCUUAGCGUCUAUUAAACUACUAUUUAAAAUUUUCAUUUAAAAAAUAUAUUAUUUAAAUUUCUUAAUUUUAAUUUAUUAAAUUAUUUAAUUAUCAAAAUAAAAAAUAUUAUUAUUUAAUCUUUAUAUUUUAAUAAAAUAUAUUAUUUAAUUUAGUUUAAAAUUAAUUAUUUAAUUUUAUCAUUUAAAUUUAAUUAGUUUAAAAUUAAUUUAAUUUUACAUGUUUAGUUUAAAAUUUUUAAUUUUAAUUUCUAAAUUUAAUUCUAUCAAAAGUGGCUAUGGGUAUAUUUUUUAUUGGAAUGAAUUCCAUAAAGUUUAGUAAAUUUUAAUUAUUAAUGGGCAGGUGAAAGACUUGUGCUUUGGUUCUGGACCUUACAAGUGCGGUAGAUUUGAAAAAGAAAAAGCAUAGUAUUUGGAUUAAUUUACCUGUUCAUGUUAUCUGAUCGAUGUGGAUACGUUGGUGAUGGCUUUUCCUUGUUUUAUUUAGUUUAGUGUUUGGCGCUUAUAAAAAACGGUGAUAGUUGUGGCCUCUGAAUUUCUUUCUGGUCAUGGCUUAAAUUUCAGCUCAACGAAUGUGGAAAUUUGGAUAACACUAUUUCCGCAUAGACAGAGACCGAGUACCAGCGAGUAAAGGUUUCUCCCUUUCCCAUCGAGCUUAUGUAUAUGUUCAAUAAGAGUAGUGCCCAUUUUCUAACUUAAACCAGUCUGUGAUUGAGGUCGUUCCCAUGCCACCCAUUUCUAUUGUUUCUGGGCUGAUAUGGAAUGGGAGAAUGAGCCUCCCAGAGGCGAGUGGAAAUGGGUGGAUGGGAGUG
rnacentral:precursor_RNA from 1 species